rnacentral:sRNA from 1 species
UUUUAAUUUAUAGUUAAAGACAUCCAUGUAUGUUGUGCAAUGUACAUGCUCUAACGGUAGAUACUGCUACCUUAAAUUUUCGCAAGACUAAAAGUAGAAGUCUCUUGUGAGAAAGUUUUUCUUUGAAAGAGCGAUUCUCUAAAGCUGUUGAUGUUGAUGCCGCUAGUUUGGCCAAAGCUGGAGCAUAUAAUUGGCUUGAAUGGGGGUGAGAUAUUCGGACGGAUGAGAUUCCUAAACAUGGGCUUCAUGUUUUGAAUGAAGAAUCAAGUUGAUAUAUUAGAGUUUAUAAUUACUUACUAUUUUAUUGAUUUAUAGA